GCUGGGCAUCCUGGUGAAUGCCUGUAAUAUCAGCAGCUUGGGAGGCUGAGGCAGGAGGAUCACAAGUUCAAAGCCAGCCUCAGCAAUUUAGUAAGGCCCUAAGCAACUUAGGGAUACCCUGUCUCAA
rnacentral:sRNA from 1 species